rnacentral:rRNA from 1 species
UACGAAGGGGGCUAGCGUUGCUCGGAAUCACUGGGCGUAAAGCGCACGUAGGCGGAUCUUUAAGUCAGGGGUGAAAUCCCAAGGCUCAACCUUGGAACUGCCUUUGAUACUGGGGGAUCUCGAGUCCGGAAGAGGUGAGUGGACCUGCGAGUGUAGAGGUGAAAUUCGUAGAUAUUCGCAAGAACACCAGUGGCGAAGGCGGCUCACUGGUCCGGUACUGACGCUGAGGUGCGAAAGCGUGGGGAGCAAACAGG